ACGGGAGCCGUUAGUGGACUGGUUAUCUUGAGUCUAAUUUGGAAUGAAAGUCCCAUAUCUCGCCCUGGCACAUAGAAUCUUAGUCCCCAGGUUCGUCCCCCAACCCGUCCGUUGAACUGUUUUCCCGGACUUGUGAAAGUUAUAUUAAGGGUGUUUGAAGUCUGGUUUUUCCUGCCAACAGUAAUUACGUCCCAGCUUGACGAGGGGUGCCAUGGAGCCUCUCCUGUGGUCUCACAACUCCACUGUUUGCAAAAGAAGUCCCCGAUACCAUACUUAUCUAGUGGUUCCUCUGGGGGUGCCCUAUCAGGUGUCGGUUCAGGGAUGUACUAGUAGCUUAAUCCCUCUGCUAGGGCACAAAUCGUAGGAAACAGAGGUGGCCACCAUGUGCCAGGGGGAGCUUCCUUAGAUGCCAACCAAACCAUAUCCCCUGUCUGUGACAUCACCUGCCAGGAAAUAAAGACAACCUUCAUAGAUUUGAAAAGACACUAUUUUGUUAUAAUCAAGUAGGGGGAUCUGUUGACAAGUUUUGAGCAUGAAGUCUGUUCACAUUUGCCAGGCUGAAGUUCUCUGUACAGUACAUCAUCACCUAUUUUAAGCUGCACUCAGGAGGAUGAGUUUUGUUUCUUAGUGCCCUUCAGUCAUGUUGCUGUCCCACAGGAAAAACAUAGCCCUUCACUAUUGGGAUUCAAAAUAAAUGUCUCAUUUCUGUUUUCUCUGAA